UUCGCAAUGCCCGAAAGGGUGACGAAGCGACGCCGCGUGUGGGAGGAAGGCCUUCGGGUUGUAAACCACUGUCGGGAGUUAGGAAAUGUAAGGAUGUUAACAGCGUCCUUACUUGACUAAGGCUCCGGAGGAAGCCACGGCUAACUCUGUGCCAGCAGCCGCGGUAAUACAGAGGUGGCAAGCGUUGUUCGGUAUUAUUGGGCGUAAAGAGCACGUAGGUGGUUUUGUAAGUCAGAUGUGAAAGCCUUCUGUUCAAAGGAAGAACGGCAUCUGAAACUGCAAAUCUUGAGUGUAGGAGGGGAGAGUGGAACUUCUGGUGGAGCGGUGAAAUGCGUAGAUAUCAGAAGGAACGUCGGCGGCGAAAGCGACUCUCUGGCCUAUUACUGACACUGAGUGUGCGAAAGUUAGGGGAGCAAACGGGAUUAGAUACCCCGGUAGUCCUAACUGUAAACGAUGGGCACUAAGUAGAGGGGUUUU
rnacentral:rRNA from 1 species